AUUGGACGCUAGCGGGAUGCCUUACACACGCAAGUCGAACGGCAGCGCGGACUUCGGUCUGGCGGCGAGUGGCGAACGGGUGAGUAAUGUAUCGGAACGUGCCCAGUAGCGGGGGAUAACUACUCGAAAGAGUAGCUAAUACCGCAUACGCCCUACGGGGGAAAGGGGGGGAGCGCAAGACCUCUCACUAUUGGAGCGGCCGAUGUCGGAUUAGCUAGUUGGUGAGGUAAAGGCUCACCAAGGCGACGAUCCGUAGCUGGUUUGAGAGGACGACCAGCCACACUGGGACUGAGACACGGCCCAGACUCCUACGGGAGGCAGCAGUGGGGAAUUUUGGACAAUGGGGGAAACCCUGAUCCAGCCAUUCCGCGUGUGCGAUGAAGGCCUUCGGGUUGUAAAGCACUUUUGGCAGGAAAGAAAUCGCAUCAAUUAAUACUUGGUGUGGAUGACGGUACCUGCAGAAUAAGCACCGGCUAACUACGUGCCAGCAGCCGCGGUAA
rnacentral:rRNA from 1 species